rnacentral:rRNA from 1 species
GUUGGGUAGGGGAGCGUUCUGUAAGCCGUCGAAGGUGUGCUGUGAGGCAUGCUGGAGGUAUCAGAAGUGCGAAUGCUGACAUAAGUAACGAUAAAGCGGGUGAAAAGCCCGCUCGCCGGAAGACCAAGGGUUCCUGUCCAACGUUAAUCGGGGCAGGGUGAGUCGACCCCUAAGGCGAGGCCGAAAGGCGUAGUCGAUGGGAAACGGGUUAAUAUUCCCGUACUGGGUGUUACUGCGAAGGGGGGACGGAGAAGGCUAUGUUAGCCGGGCGACGGUUGUCCCGGUUUAAGCGUGCAGGCUUGAGUUCCAGGCAAAUCCGGAACUCUUUAAGGCUGAGGCGUGAUGACGAGGCACCACGGUGCUGAAGUAACAAAUGCCCUGCUUCCAGGAAAAGCCUCUAAGCAUCAGGUAACAUCCAAUCGUACCCCAAACCGACACAGGUGGUCAGGUAGAGAAUACCAAGGCGCUUGAGAGAACUCGGGUGAAGGAACUAGGCAAAAUGGUGCCGUAACUUCGGGAGAAGGCACGCUGGCGCGUAGGUGAAGCGACUUGCUCGUGGAGCUGAAGCCAGUCGAAGAUACCAGCUGGCUGCAACUGUUUAUUAAAAACACAGCACUGUGCAAACACGAAAGUGGACGUAUACGGUGUGACGCCUGCCCGGUGCCGGAAGGUUAAUUGAUGGGGUUAUCCGUAAGGAGAAGCUCUUGAUCGAAGCCCCGGUAAACGGCGGCCGUAACUAUAACGGUCCUAAGGUAGCGAAAUUCCUUGUCGGGUAAGUUCCGACCUGCACGAAUGGCGUAAUGAUGGCCAGGCUGUCUCCACCCGAGACUCAGUGAAAUUGAACUCGCUGUGAAGAUGCAGUGUACCCGCGGCAAGACGGAAAGACCCCGUGAACCUUUACUACAGCUUGACACUGAACAUUGAGCCUUGAUGUGUAGGAUAGGUGGGAGGCUUUGAAGCGUGGACGCCAGUCUGCGUGGAGCCAACCUUGAAAUACCACCCUUUAACGUUUGAUGUUCUAACCUGGCGCCGUUACCCGGCGUGGGGACAGUGUCUGGUGGGUAGUUUGACUGGGGCGGUCUCCUCCCAAAGAGUAACGGAGGAGCACGAAGGUCAGCUAAUCACGGUCGGACAUCGUGAGGUUAGUGCAAUGGCAUAAGCUGGCUUGACUGCGAGAGUGACGGCUCGAGCAGGUGCGAAAGCAGGUCAUAGUGAUCCGGUGGUUCUGAAUGGAAGGGCCAUCGCUCAACGGAUAAAAGGUACUCCGGGGAUAACAGGCUGAUACCGCCCAAGAGUUCAUAUCGACGGCGGUGUUUGGCACCUCGAUGUCGGCUCAUCACAUCCUGGGGCUGAAGUAGGUCCCAAGGGUACGGCUGUUCGCCGUUUAAAGUGGUACGCGAGCUGGGUUUAGAACGUCGUGAGACAGUUCGGUCCCUAUCUGCCGUGGGCGCUGGAAGAUUGAGAGGGGUUGCUCCUAGUACGAGAGGACCGGAGUGAACGCACCGCUGGUGUUCGGGUUGUCAUGCCAAUGGCAUUGCCCGGUAGCUAAGUGCGGAAAAGAUAAGCGCUGAAAGCAUCUAAGCGCGAAACUUGCCUCGAGAUGAAUCUUCCCUGACUCCUUGA